rnacentral:rRNA from 1 species
CCUACGGGAGGCUGCAGUGAGGAAUAUUGGUCAAUGGCCGGAAGGCUGAACCAGCCAAGCCGCGUGAAGGACGAAGGUGCCAAGCAUUGUAAACUUCUUUUGUCAAGGGACAAAAUCAGGCGCGAGAGCCUGACCGAGGGUACUUUAAGAAAAAGCAUCGGCUAACUCCGUGCCAGCAGCCGCGGUAAUACGGGGGAUGCGAGCGUUAUCCGGGUUGUUUGGGUGUAAAGGGUGCGUAGGCGGGCUGUUAAUUCAGCGGUAAAAGCCAGGGGUUAAACCCCGGUGAGCCUUUGAAACUGGUUGUCUUGAGAUGUGGAGAGGUAUGCGGAAUGCGGAGUGUAGCGGUGAAAUGCUUAGAUAUUGCGCAGAACUCCGAUUGCGAAGGCAGCAUACCGGAGACGAUCUGACGCUGAGGCACGAAAGCGUGGGUAGCGAACAGGAUUAGAUACCCCAGUAGUC